rnacentral:rRNA from 1 species
UACGGAGGGGGCUAGCGUUGUUCGGAAUUACUGGGCGUAAAGCGCGUGUAGGCGGGCCGUUAAGUCGGGGGUGAAAGCCUAGAGCUCAACUCUGUAAUGGCCUUCGAUACUGGCGGACUGGAGCAUGAUAGAGGCGAGUGGAAUUGCGAGUGUAGAGGUGAAAUUCGUAGAUAUUCGCAGGAACACCAGUGGCGAAGGCGACUCGCUGGAUCAUUGCUGACGCUGAUACGCGAAAGCGAGGGGAGCAAACAGG